GAUGAACGCUGGCGGCGUGCCUAAUACAUGCAAGUCGAACGCAUAGCGAAAGGUGCUUGCCCCUUUCAAGUGAGUGGCGAACGGGUGAGUAACACGUGGACAACCUGCCUCAAGGCUGGGGAUAACAUUUGGAAACAGAUGCUAAUACCGAAUAAAACUUAGUGUCGCAUGACACAAAGUUAAAAGGCGCUUCGGCGUCACCUAGAGAUGGAUCCGCGGUGCAUUAGUUAGUUGGUGGGGUAAAGGCCUACCAAGAAAAUGAUGCAUAGCCGAGUUGAGAGACUGAUCGGCCACAUUGGGCCUGAGACACGGCCCAAACUCCUACGGGAGGCUGCAGUAGGGAAUCUUCCACAAUGGGCGAAAGCCUGAUGGAGCAACGCCGCGGGUGUGAUGAAGGCUUUCGGGUCGUAAAGCACUGUUGUAUGGGAAGAACAGCUAGAAUAGGAAAUGAUUUUAGUUUGACGGUACCAUACCAGAAAGGGACGGCUAAAUACGU
rnacentral:rRNA from 1 species